AGUGAACGCUGGCGGUAGGCCUAACACAUGCAAGUCGAACGGCAGCACAGUAAGAGCUUGCUCUUACGGGUGGCGAGUGGCGGACGGGUGAGGAAUACAUCGGAAUCUACUUUUUCGUGGGGGAUAACGUAGGGAAACUUACGCUAAUACCGCAUACGACCUACGGGUGAAAGCAGGGGAUCUUCGGACCUUGCGCGUUUGAAUGAGCCGAUGUCGGAUGAGCUAGUUGGCGGGGUAAAGGCCCACCAAGGCGACGAUCCGUAGCUGGUCUGAGAGGAUGAUCAGCCACACUGGAACUGAGACACGGUCCAGACUCCUACGGGAGGCAGCAGUGGGGAAUAUUGGACAAUGGGCGCAAGCCUGAUCCAGCCAUACCGCGUGAGUGAAGAAGGCCUUCGGGUUGUAAAGCCCUUUUGUUGGGAAAGAAAAGCAGCAGGUUAAUACCCCGCUGUUCUGACGGUACCCAAAGAAUAAGCACCGGCUAACUUCGUG
rnacentral:rRNA from 1 species